rnacentral:tRNA from 4 species
GGCUCAGUGGUUUAGUGGGAUAAUUCAUCUUUCGGGAGAAAUCUCUGGUUUCAGAAUUACCAAUAUAGAUGAGGUCCCGGGUUCGAUUCCCGGCUGAGCCC